GAUGAAGAACGUAGCGAAAUGCGAUAGGUAAUGUGAAUUGCAGAAUUCAGUGAAUCAUCGAAUCUUUGAACGCACAUUGCGCCCUCCGGCAUUCCGGGGGGCAUGCCUGUCCGAGCGUCACGAAAACCCCAUCACACUCGUUGUGGUCAUGGCUGCAGUGAGUCGUCUCCAGCGGAGAGGGUCACGCCGCUGAAAGGAAUGGUGCGGAUGAGUUCCGAUGGCCGAACGUAGUACUUGACAACCGUCGGCCGAUGGGACCCUCCAUCUCGCCCUGACGACGUACCCCCGUCGUACCCUCGAUCAGGUGGACCUCGGAUCAGGUAGGGAUACCCGCUGAACUUAAGCAUAUCAAUAAGCGGAGGA
rnacentral:misc_RNA from 1 species